rnacentral:misc_RNA from 1 species
GCUGAAUUUAUAAAAGAAAAAGAAACAGUUGAUGUACUUCUUGGAAACGAAAGACUUUCAAGUAAAAAAUUUGGAAUUAGUUAUGAUGGUUUUAUGAAAUAUGGAAAAUACAAAAAUUAUUUUAUUAAAGCUUCAUCUUCUUCACAACCAAGCAUUAUAUGUUUUUAUUAUAAUCGUAAAAGUCAUAUGGUUAAUGCUUGUCCUA